UGAAGAUGUAUGCUUGUAGUGGCAUACCAGUGAUGCCGGAAUAAAUAAAAUCCUUGCCAUUGUAGCUAAAUCCAUGCUUCACCAGAGUUUCACUGAUAGCAUCAACUGUGUCAGCAUGACCACUGGGUUCUCCGAAAGCACUCCCGUAAUGAAACCUACCACAUGAAACACCGGCUUUACUUCCAAGGAGCUCAAUCAUCUUUCCCACUGUCAUUCGGCUUGGAAAUCCGUGAGGAUUCAUAAUAAGAUCAGGGCAAAUGCCACGUUCAGAAAAUGGAAAAUCUUCCUGUUGUACAAUGGUGCCACAGACUCCUUUCUGCCCAUGCCUACUACUAAAUUUGUCACCAAGCUCAGGCCUACGGGUAUGACGGAUCAUAAAUUUGAUGCUUAAAUUGUUGUUUCUAUCAGAAUAAAGAGCCACUCUAUCAACAACAGCUGUCUCCCCUUCAGGACCUUUAUAAGUUUGUUUACUUGACUUGUAUGCACUAUCUGGCAAACCCAUAGGAGACGUGACUGGAGUCCUCGUGACUGUAGGGGACUCCUUGUUGAUA
rnacentral:misc_RNA from 1 species